rnacentral:lncRNA from 1 species
ACGGGGAAAAAGGGUGCGGGGGAGGGCGCCUAGGACUUAUAGGAGCAAAGGAACUUUCCCACGGCAAAUCCCGUAGAAAUCGGGAAGGAAAACAUGGCCUGAGCUCGAGUCCGGCUCGACCACGCGAGGAAGAAAGGGGAAAGGGGGAGGGUGUCGCUGACGUGCGGGCCCGGAGGGUCAGUGACAGGGAAAAGCGGGACCCGGCUGUCAGCGAAAAGAAAGAGAGAGAGGGGGUAGCCCGGCGCUGUGGUGCAGCCUGUGCCAUGGAGUUGGGUCGGGCGCUGGCUUCCAGCUGGGCCAAAUGGGAGAGGAAGGGGUUGGGCGUUCGGGCCAGAAAACAGAGAGGAAAUUUGUUUUCCUUUUUCUUUUGAUUGUCAUUUUUUUCUUUUAUUUUUAAACCAUUUUCAAAUCAGUUUGAAACAAUUUUGAACUUUGCUCAAAGUCACACAGUAUAAAAAUGUAAAUGCUCCAGCAUGAGUACACAUACAUGUUACUAAAUUCUAUGAUAAGUUUUAUUUUAAUGAUAAAUAGUAUUUUUCUAUGUUUCAUGAGCACAACAAUACAAAAUUAAAUUAAUUUAGCUUUAUUUCUAAAGGACAAAUUUAGUGUGUUACAUAUGAAAGCUUUUUCAAAACUUCUAGGCUCCAAAACUCAAUCUUUAAGACAGAAAUUAGAGAAAAGUUUCCACCGAGCCCGAUGAAGUGGGGAGAACCAGAUGCAUUUUCUUUUGUACAUGCCCGUAGAUAUAAAAUUUACUUGAUUUUGAGUUUGUAUGUCAAAGUUAUUACUUUUUGAGGAAGGCCCUUUGAACCAAAGUUUUUUUGUUCCACAAGAUUCAAACAGAUGAUACGGGGAUAGCAGUUGGCAACAGGUGUAUGGGAUGUAGAGGAAGGACCGACACAAACUGGACUCAAACACAAUCUAUAGCGGUGGAGGGAUUGACAAAAAGAUACCAAUGGUGUUCAUGCCAAAGUUUAAAAUAGCGGGCUAUUAAAAAUAGCGGCAACUUUUUUUCAACAGCUAUGCAGCUAUAGUGGUGCUAUAGCGGCGCUAUGACAGAUAGCGUUUUUAUAAAAAAUAAUAAAAAAACACGAUACAAAAAAACAUGGUAAAUAUGAAUUUUGAUGAAUAGAAAUAUGUUUUCAUAAGUAUAGGUAACAUUACUAAGUACUAAUGUGAAAUUAUAGCAUGGUUUAUGAAAACUUUAUUGUUCAGAAUACCAAAUUAGUUGUAACUGAUAAAUAACAAUCUAGUACA